CAGGUGUAGUUUAGUGGUAAAACUUCAGCCUUCCAAGCUGACUAUGAGGGUUCGAUUCCCUUCACCUG
rnacentral:tRNA from 1 species